AGCGAACGCUGGCGGCAGGCCUAACACAUGCAAGUCGAACGAACCUUUCGGGGUUAGUGGCGGACGGGUGAGUAACACGUGGGAACGUGCCUUUAAGUUCGGAAUAACUCAGGGAAACUUGUGCUAAUACCGAAUGUGCCCUUCGGGGGAAAGAUUUAUCGCCUUUAGAGCGGCCCGCGUCUGAUUAGCUAGUUGGUUGAGGUAAUGGCUCACCAAGGCGACGAUCAGUAGCUGGUCUGAGAGGAUGAUCAGCCACAUUGGGACUGAGACACGGCCCAAACUCCUACGGGAGGCAGCAGUGGGGAAUCUUGCGCAAUGGGCGAAAGCCUGACGCAGCCAUGCCGCGUGAAUGAUGAAGGUCUUAGGAUUGUAAAAUUCCUUCACCGGGGACGAUAAUGACGGUACCCGGAGAAGAAGCCCCGGCUAACUUCGUG
rnacentral:rRNA from 1 species